rnacentral:lncRNA from 10 species
GCCGAGAUCAUGCCAUUACACCCCAGCCUGGGCAAAAAGAGUGAAACUCCGUCUCUAAAUAAAUAAAUAAUAAAAUAAAAUAAAGUAAAAUAAAAAUAUAAUAAAGCCCUCAAAAGAAGGAAAAAAUUUUACCCAGAUUUAAAGAAUGAUAAAAACUCUCAGAUAAAAAGACAGAGUGGACAGAAUAGAUCCUGAAAACCCUAUACCACAGAAAACUCCAGUGAAAUUUAAGAACAUCAAGAGAGAAAGUCUUGUAAGCUUCUAGAGAGAAAAAAAGAUCAUCUAAAAAGCGAAAAUUGAAUUGAUGUUAGACUCCUGUAUAGCAACACUGAAUAGUAUUGAGGGAAAAAUAUUAUUUAGAUUUUUAUAACCAACUAGCUGUUACUUAAGGUAAGGGCAAAUAAAGUUUUUUCUUUCGUGCAUACAACAUCACAGAAUUCUUAGUAUGCAGAGACUCACCAUCCUAAUUCAGGUAGUUUGAAACGACCGUGAAAUCUGCACUUGGGAAAUACAUGCAAGGUGAUUUUGAUGCAGAAAGUUCAGAGAUGAUUCACAGAAUUUCCUUCCAGGGGAACUUAAUUUAAAAAAUGUAAUUGUGAGCCCUUAGACUUGAAACUUUGGCUUUGAUGAAUAAGCCUGCAGAACUCAAAAUAAUAAGUAAUAACUGCUAAUAAUCUUUGAGCCCUCAUUCUCUUUCAGGUAACUUUUAGAAUUUUUAAACUUAUUUUUAAAUUUUUAAUUUUAAAUACAGAUUUACAAAAAAGUUGCAAAAAUACUAUAAGAAGCUCCCUUAUACUCUUCUUUCAGUUUCUCCAAAUGUUAAGUUACAUAGCCAUACUACAAGUAUAAAAAUCAGGAAAUUAAUAAUAUAUUACUAUUAAUUAGUACCUACCUUAUGAAAAUUUCCGUAAUUGUCUCAUUCAUGUCAUGCUUCUGGUCUAGGAGCCAAUCAAGAAUCGCACAUGGCAUUUAUUAGUCAUUUCUCUUUAGUCUUCCAGUUUGUGACUGUCCCUCCGUCCCUGAGUCUUCCUUUGUCUUUCAUGCCUUGAUACUUUUAAAGAAUACUGGCCAGUUAUUUGUAAAAUUUUUCUCAAUCUGGGUUUGUUUGAUAUUUAUUCAUGAUGAAUUAAUGUUACACAUUUUUAGGAAGAAUAUUGCAGUAGUAAUGCCGUCCUCUUCUUAGUAAAUUUGAAGACACACAAUUUUGAUAUAUAGUCAUGUAAUGCGUAACAAUGUUUUUGGACAACAAUAGACCACAUAUAGCACAGUGGUUUCAUAAGUUUAUAACACCAUAGUUUUACUGUACCUUUUCUAUCUUUAGAUACAUAAAUGCUUACCAUUAUAUUAUAAUUGCCUACAGUAUUCAGUACAGUAACUUAAUGUGAAGCUUUUUAGCCUAGGAACAAUAGUCUAUACCAUGCAGGUUGUAUAAGUACACUCUGAUGUUCCCACAAAGACAAAAUUGCCAAAUGCAUUUCUCAGAUCAUUUGGAUCAUGUCUACUAGGUUUCUCCUCUGGACUUUUCCAAAUAGUGACAUUUUAUUUCCAUCAAUCCUUCCUCAUUUAUUAAUUCAAAUUCUACCAUAAGAAAGAGCUUUCCCUUCUUCAUUCAUCCAUUUCAGUAUAGACUAAUAGACAUUUUUCAUCAUAUGAGUUAUAAUACAUCACUAUAAUGAGUUUUUGCUCAAAUAGUUCCAGAUUUUGUCUUGGGAUCUCCUUCAAUUUAUCUUCUGUGUGUUUUCAACCAGCUCAUGUUAUUUUUUGAAUGCUACCUUAUUUUUCAGCACUACAAAAUGUUCCAAAUUUGUCUUUAUUUUCCCUGCCCCAGUCUUAAAACCAACCAUUUCUCCAAGGGGGUCUUGGUUUGUUUUGUUAGAGAAUGAUGUUUGAUACCAAGAUCUGGAAGCUAGGUGUGUUCAUUGCCAAUGCUGUGUUAUUGCUUCUAGGCCAUUUCAGAGGAAAGCACUAAAAAUAUAUAUAUGUAUUCAACACAUACUUCUUCAUCUGUCUGUGUAAAUAUUAAAACCCAUGAGUCGUGAUUCUAAUCUGACACUACAGGGUUCAGUCUAGCCUUUUCCAUUUCCCUGGUGGAAAUUCCUUUCUUCAAGGGAGAAAAAAAACUUGUUUCUCAUUAUCUAGAAUAUAUUCAUUUUCUCAAUUCUAGAAUACAAAUAAUUUCAAAUUUGCUAAUCCAUACUUGUGUGAAAAACAAAUUUACUAAGUAGAGUACAGUAUUUGUAUAAAGAGCUUCUGUUUUACCACGUAGAGUCAAAAUACUGUUUUCCAAAGUUACUUGGAUUAGUUUUUUUUUGUUCCCAACUGCCUUUACUGUGGUUAUUUUAUUCAUUUGUAAUAGAGUUGGAUUCAUUUGUUAUGUUUCUAUUUUAUUUUGGAUUCCACCCUCAUCAUGGUGAAUUUUGUUUUAUUUUUGAGCAUGUAGAAACAUUAACAUGGUUCAAAAAGUCAGUUUUUUGGAAAGUUGUACGUAGAGAUGUAUCAAUCCUUCUCAUCCCCUGAACCGUAUACUCCUUACUCUUUCUUUUUACCAUAUUCCCACCUAUGUCCUCUAUUUAACCAAUCUGUUAGCUUCUGGUUUAUUCAUCCUGUAUUUUCUUUUUGCACAAAUAAGGAAAUACAUGUAUAUUUUCAUAUGGACCCCUGGUUUUAUUUUUCUUACAGAAAAGGAUGCAUACUACAAAUACUUUUGCACCUUACAUUUUUUUUUUUUUUUUUACUGAAUAAAAUCCUAGGAAUAACUACAUGUCAGUUCAUAGAAAUAGUCCUAAUUCUUUUCUGUAGCUGUAUCCUACUCAAUUUUCUGAAUGUAUGAUACCUUAUUUAGCCACUCUCCAAGGUUUGGGCAUUUAAGUUGUCUAUAGCACUUUGCAACUACAAACAAUCCUGCAAUGAAUAACCUUGCGCAUAUACAUUUUUUAUAUUCCUUGAAGUGGAUUCUUAAAAUGAGAUUGUUAGGUCAAAAGAUAAGUGCAUAUAUAGCUUUGUUAUUACCAGAUUUCUCUCCAGAAGACUGGUACAAGUUUGUGUUCUCACAAGUGAUACAUGAAAAAAUGCCUAUUUUCUCAAUGCCUUGCUAAUAAACAUGUUAUGCUUUUCAAUUUUUGGUAUUCUUACAGGUGAUAAGAGGUACUUCAGUGUUGUUUUAAUAUGUACUACUUUAUAAGUGUGAAUAUCUUUAAUCUGUUUAAUGACUAUUUACAUAAAAUAUAUAUUUGUGAAUUAUCUGUUUUUCCUCCUUUUUCUAUUACAUUUUAGUCCUUUGCUCAAUUUAAAAAGUAGUUUUUUUCUUAAUGUAUCAGGGGUAUUACCUCUUUGUCUGUGGUACAUGUUGUAAAUAUUUUCUCCCAAUUUGUCUCUUUCAGCUUUAUUUAUGAUAUUUUUUCUGUCAUGCCACAAAUUUUUAAUUUUAUGAAGUCAAAUUUAUCAACCUUUCUUUUAUUGCAUCUGAGUUUUGAGUCAGAGUUUAAAAGUCUUUUCCUACUCCAAGGUUAAAUAUGAAUUCACCCAUGUUUUCUUCCAAUAUUUGUAUGGCUUAAUUUUUUAACAUUUAAAUCCCUAAUUUGGAAUUUAGUCUUUCAAUGGUUUGAAGUAUGGGUCUAACCAUAUUUAUUUUUUUCCAAAUGGCUACCCACUAGUUACAGCAUUGUUUAUUUAAAAGUUCACUUUUGUCUCUGUGAUUUGAGAUGCUACUUUAUCAUAUACUAAAUUUGUAUAUGUACUUGAGUAUAUUUCUGGGCUUUCCUAUUACUUUCCUACUGGUGUAUCUGUCUGUUCAUGGGAUAAUACAAUACUAUUUGAAUUAUAGACUUAUGGUAUAUUUUAACGUCUGACAAUGCUAAUUCCUCCCUUGCAGUUUUUAUUUAUUUUUACAUUUUUCCUGGCUAUUUUUGAAUGUUUGCUUUUCUUUAUGGGAUUUUUGCAUAAACUUAUCUAAUUCCAAAAUAAAGUUUUUUGGUAUUUGUAUUGGAUUUUGCACAAUUUAUAAAUUAACUUAGAAUAAUUCACUUUAGGACAUUGAGUCAUCACAUCCAAAAAUCAGAGUAUCUUUCCAUUUGUUCAAAUCUUUGUGUCUUUCAAGAGAAGAAUAAAGCUUUUUUUUUUUAAUACUUUAAGUUCUGGGGUACAUGUGCAGAACGUGCAGUUUUGUUACAGAGGUAUACACAUGCCAUGGUGGUUUGCUGCACCCAUCAACCCAUCACCUACAUUAGGUAUUUCUCCUAAUGCUCUCCCUCGCCUAGCCCCUCACGCCCUAACAGGCUCCGGUUCGUGAUGUUCCCCUCCUUGUGUCCAGAGAAGUAUAAAGUUUUAUUCAUGUAUGCUUUGUACAUUUCUUGAAUUUAUUUCUAGGUGUUUAAUCUUCUUUGUCAUAAAUGAGUUUUCCUCUUCCAUGAUGUCCUCUAACUGGAUACUGUUUCAAAUAUCUUUAUCAGUCCUUUUCAUGUAUUAUCUCAUUUAAUUUUCACAACAACCAUGUGAGAUACAUUUUUCUCCAAAUACACACAACUAGUAGUAGCUGCCAAAGCAGGAGUUCUAAGGCAGGCAAUCUGAUUUCGAUGUGCUAUACUGCCUACUUUCCACUAUUACUUUGUUUAGGAGUUUAUCUAGAAACCAUGGGCAACAAUCUAAUAUUAUUGUAGUAGUGCAAAGGAACAUCCAAAGGCAAGGGGUCAAAUUUGCAAGUUUUAACAUGAGAACUCUGACCAUGUCCGGCAACUUAACUCCAGAAGAGAAGAGGUAAUGUAAGGGGUAGUAGUAUAUGGCUCCUUCUUCUUGCCUCCACGUCUAGCUGCAGCUCUGAAAAAAAGGAGGAAGCAGAAUAAAGAUCACAACUCUCUGGGCACAGGAGAAUACAGCAUAAUUUUUUGGGUUGGGAGGUGUUUGGGCCAUGGGGGUGGAUCCCUCAUGAGUGGCUUGGUGCUGUCCUCAUGGUAGUAAGUGAGUUCUCGCUCUAUUAAUUCCCAUGAGAGCUGGUUGUUAAAAAGAGUCUGGCAACUCCCCCAUCUCUUUUUUGCUUCUUCUCUCACCACGUGAGCUCUGCACACACUGGCUCCCCUUCAUCUUCCACCAUGAGUGGAAGCAGCCCGAGGCUUUCAUCAGAUGCCCAGUCUUCCAGCCAGCAGAAUUGUGAGUUAAAUAAAUCUUUUUUCUUUAUAAAUUACCCAGCCUAAGGUAUUCCUUUAUAGUGAAACUAAAUAGACUAACACUUCCCUAAUGCUGGGGGGGUUAAGCUGUUCAGGAUGGUAUUUAUGCUGCUCAUCUCACUGCAUCAAGUUAAGCACACAGACUGCUUAAUGAUGCUUGUAUCUGUUUUUUGUUGUUGUUGGGUUUCUUUGCCUCAACAAAAAUGCAUUUCUCUUUUUGGUAGUAGGUUUUCAGAAGAUAGUUUCCAACUUUGAGGAACACUUUCAACAGAGUCCUUGGUGAUAGAUUAAGCCCUUUGAUAUGAUAGAUUCCCUGUUUAGAAGACUAUAAAAAUAGACAACUACAAUUACGACUGUCAAGGCAGUCAACCUUUCAGUCACGCAAACACCACUGCAAUAUUCUCGAAAACAAAAUCUGUAAUAGUAUUCAUUACAAAUGGCAGCAUAAAGUGAGCUCAGUUUGCCUGGGAGAAGCAUAAUAUGGUUUUUAUUUGUGCAUUUAUCUAAAUGGGGAAAAUGAUCUUAUCCCAGGUAUAAAAAUACUGAACAGUCAGCCCAGGCAAUACCAGGAAAGCUGAAGAGAAGGUUGAAAGGAAAGAAGGUAUAGAGAAGCAAAGUAAAAGGUCCCCCAUUGUUGACAUCUGUCCUCUUUACUUAAUUGCCAGUAUUAACUACAGACAAGGCUUUCAGUAAUAGCAAAGAGUUAAAACAAGCCAGAAACAAAGAAAAGUAAUUUAGAAGAGGGGAUAAGAAGUCAGAGUUCCUCAUGCAGUACUUUAUCUUAGAGAAGAAAGCUUUUACCUAUAUUUAAUAAGUUGGUGGGAGGCAAGAGAGUCAACAUGGAACAAAUUAUAUAUUUUCAUUUCAUGUUUGUUUUUCAGUGAUUUGAGACUUCUGGGAUUUCAGCCUUUCAUAGCAGUAACUCUGCUCAAUAUUAUAGAAUGUAUCACCUUGGAAAAGCAAUUGCAAAAUGCUUCUUUGUAUUCUCUUUGUGCACUGAGUGGGCUGGAAUCAUUCUCUUCAAACAUUAUUUACAACUCAAUGUAAUGAGCACACGUAGUCAGUAAGGCUUUUAAAACUUAAUGAGAAAUAGAAAACUUUAGGGGGUUAUUUCUCAAUAUGCUCAGUGUCUACAACUAGGUCUGUGGUUUAAAAAGAGCACUCUGGCCUUAGCGUAUAUUUUAUUUUCAGAACAAUGGACUGAGAAACAAAGACAUCCAUCUUGUCUGGGACCUAAUUAAGAAGGAGAAAACAAAGGAGGAAGGAAAGGAAGGAAAGAAAAGAAUCAUGAAAGGAAGAAGAUAAAGCAUAACCUGUUUUUUGUAUUAGCGUUCUGCAAAAUGGGGAAAAUGAUCUUAUCCUAGGUAUAAAAAUAUUGUGCAAUCAGCCCAGGCAAUAUAGGGAAGCUGGAGGAAACAAUGAGAGGGGAGAAUGUACAGAGAAACAAGGUAGAAGGUCCUUUUCCCUGGAUUAUUCUUGUUUUGACUUUCAAAUGAGGUGAGGAGGAGGGGAAGCUUUUCUGAGAUGAUUAAUUGGGAGGCCAGAAUUAAACUCACUACACGGACCGUGUUGAAGGAGAGGUGGAAACCCUACCUCUACUAAUUUAUUAAAGGAAUAAAAGCACAAAAUAUCAAAAAGAACAAUAAAUUAGAAACCUGAUGCUCCUCUUGGCUCCACAGUGCGUGGUCUCUAUGGUCUUGACAAUUUAAUCAACCUCUCUAACAAUCUGUCUCAUGAUCUUUGAAAGAAAACGUUUGGGGGAGAGGUCACUUCCACUCCUAAAAUUUAAAUAUUAAAUUCAGUUUCCUUAGAGGUAUUGAAAGUUGGAAUUUUUAAAACAGUGUGAAAGAGAAGAGAGAUAUUUGUGAAUGUUAAGUACUUUUUAUCUGAUUAUGCUUAGAAAACUCCACAAGUUUUAUAAUAUGCUCACUGCCUUUGUUUUUUUCCAUUUUCUUAGUCCUUAAAUAUAUCUUUACUCACAAAGUAAUGGAUCAUUCUCUUAAUCCUUCAAUUUCCGUUAUUUCAGAGGCUUACAUUAUAUUGGGAAAGAUAGGGAAUUGGAAAACAGGGCUAAAAACACACUGAAAAAUCUCGGACUGUAGCAAAUUAACUAAUAGCAUUUUAUGUGUGUAUUAUAAUCAACUAAUUAAUCACUUAGCUAUUUUAAUAAUAUGUAAAACAUUGUUUACUUGUAAUAUUACUCUACAAGGAGUUUUCUCUUCCAGAAUAAUUCCAAUAUAUGUUCACUAAUAAGAUACAGACUCAUAAAAUCCCAUGAUGAAUAGUUAUGCCAUUCCAUUCCUUAUGCAUCAGAAAGUAUAGGAUAUUUUUGGUUCUACCUUUUGGGUUUAAAUCUGUAAUCCAACUAUGUCCAAGAUUUUAUACUUUACCUCUUGUGAUAAAGUAUAACUUGAGUAUAAGAGCCAUGUUAAAAAAGUUUUUUGAACAGUGGAACAAAACCGAAUAGAGCAAAAUGUACACAUAUGAGGAAUUCUAUGCUGCUCAAAAUUAAUCUCUUGGUGAUUUCUUAGAAGACAAAGAUCCUGAGUAGCUUUAGAGUUUAGUGGCUUUGUUGCAGUUUCCUAAGCUCCACUUCCUCCUUGAAUCCAAACCACAAGCCUCACAAAAUUCCAGUAACAGCUUCAAGUGAAAGUUCAACAUUUAAUGAUUGAAACUGUCAAAACUUUUAAUGACACAGCUAACAGUAGAGUUGAAGAGAGCUGUCUCAUAGGCUACCAAAUUUUAGGGCUGAAAAGAAAUAAUUUAGCCCAAUAAUCUAAUUAUAGAGAUGAGGAAACAUGCCCAGGUGGUUUUUUUUCAAGGCCACAAAACUUAUUAAUGGUAGUGUUUUAGUUAGAAGGUUUUGUUUUGUUUUUCACUUUUAUGUUCAGGAUACAUGUGCAAGUUUGCUACAUAGGCAAACUUAUAACAUGGGAGUUUGUUGUAUAGAUUAUUUCAUCACCCAGGUAUUAAGCCUAGUACCCAUUAGUUAUUUUUCCUGAUCCUUUCCCUCCUCCCACACUCCAUCCUCCCAUAGGCCCCAGUGAGGGUUGUUCCCCUCUAUGUGUCCAUGUGUUCUCAUCAUUUAGCUCCUACUUAUAAGUGAGAACAUGUGGUAUUUGACUUUCUGUAGAAGCCAAGUUUUUAAACUCCUAGUUUAGUCUACUUUUACCAUACUUUUAUUGCAUGUGUGUAGCACUGCAUGAGAAAAAUCAUAACUAAAGCAAGCUUUGUUCACUGGGGUAAAAUCUCUUGCCUUUUGCAUGUGUUUCCAUGCAGAGGCAUCCCAUUUGAACAACACUCUUUGUCUUUUUCUGCUUCACUUCCUCAUUCCCUUGGGAGGAGAAGGAUCUAACUGAUUGGUGAGUUUGGGAGCAGGAAUUGCUGGUAUUUCCCUCCCUUAUAUCAGGAGCCAGUAUGUGCUCAGGCAAAGCAGGCUAGAGGUAAAUGCUGUGCCCCUGCAGGUGAGGCCUGCUCUUCUCUAGAGCUGCCUAUGCCAAGAUAGUCAAGUUUCUUUUAGGCCAUUUGGUCAACUGACUUCCAGCCUUUAUGAUUAAUAAAGGUAAUAAUUUGACAUCUCUUGCCAUUUAUCUCUAGCUCCACUUUGUUCCAACCUGCAUGGGAAAAAGAAACUUACUAAGUUGCCUAAAAUUCCAAUUAUUUUAACCUGGGAUAGUCUAGACUUUCUUUCAUCCUACAAUAUUUACUUUAAGACAAUAAUAAAUAGAAUCUUUUUAGAAUUAUUGUUUAAGGCACUACUCUAUAAGCAAUAUGUGAGAACCAACUUUAUAUAAGACUUGGUCUCCAAAAUAAAAUAAUUUGCUCUUUAAUAAAGGAAAGAAGCUCUCUCUCCACUUAACACUCCCUUACCCCUUUCUAUUCUGAUGCUCUGACACUUUUCUGUCCAGCAGAGCUGGGUGUUAUCCCAGCUAUGCUAAUUACCAGCUAUGUGACCAUGGCCAAAUAACAACUUUUCUCUCAGCCCCAGAACCCACAUCUGUAAGUGGGGAUAAUAAUUGCAGUUGAGAUAAUUUUAAUGCACUAAAUUCUAUAGGGGACAAAUAAUAAUCUUUUAUUCAACUUCCAUGGACUGUUACUUGGAAUUUUUCCCUGGUAGAAGAGGGGUGAAAGACAGGAUAUAUUUUGUCUUUAUAAUUCUAUGUCCUGUUUUUAGGCAAAUGAAAGGAGGGCAGAGAGCUUUUCUGUAUCAGCUUAUUCUUAAUUGCCUUUGGCUCAACAAUCCUUCAGAUUUUGGGGUGGCAUAUUCUGGUCUCCUACAAGCAUACUAUGGAAUUUGACUUUAUUAAUAAUAUUAUUUUAAUAUUAUUGUUUUCAUUAGAUUCAAUUGCUAUUUCCUUAAAUAGUCUUCAGCAUUCCUUCCACUCUGCUUACAUUGCACUUGAUAUAUCACUUUUUUUGGCCGUAAUUUUCACAGUACACUUUAACUGCUUACAUAUUUAUGUUAUCAAUGGUCUGUGAGUUUCCCAGGAAGAGCAAUUAUUGCAUCUUAUAUCUCUAUAUCCCAACUCCCAAUUAGAGUUUGGCAUGUAACAUAAGCUCAGUAAAUGUUUUAUGAAUGACUAAAUUAUGAGAAAAUUUAAUAAAUGAAUAAAUUAUAAUUUAAGUAAUUGUAUGGAAAGGAAUAUAUAAAUGUUGUACAUAAAUGUUGUAUGGGAGGGCUUAUUUUCAUAUGGGUGGGCCAGGGAAGUUAUUGUGGAGAUGGGAUGAGACAUGUUUGAAACUUCACCAAUGGGUUUUCUUAAAAUUUUUGUUUUUUAAAAAGGAUCAGAGAAACAUGCUAGUCUAAAAGGAGGGCAUAUGCAAAGUCCAGAGUAACAUGCAAGCCUAAUCAGAACAUGGGGUGCAAACUAGAAUGGCUGGAUCUUAGAUAUGAUAUUGGAAAUAUGUGGGAGAUGAAGAGGUAAGUUAGGAACAAACCAGUGGGAUUUACACACUCAAACAAGGAAAUUAUGCUUUAUUUGGUUAAAAAAAAAGAAAUCACUAACAGAAUUGAACAGAAGAAUCAUGAUAUUGGGAUUAUGAUUAUUAUCAGAAUAUUAUUCUGGUGACAAAGUGUCAAAUGGAUUAGAGUGGCAGAAUGUUGAAUUAGUAAUACAAAUUUUGAAGAGGUACAAGCUUUAACUAUAGGAGUUAAAAUGAAAAGGAGAAGAUGGAUGAAAUAUAUAGGAUGGAAGAAAGAAUGUAACCUUCCUCAAAACUCAAUGAAAAGCAGAUCUUGAAAAUAUCUCAUUCCAACCGAUUUGGUAGAAGAGUAACAUGCAACUACUUCUGUCUAAGCUCUUAGACAAAAACCUUGGAUAAGAGCUUGGUGACUAUUAAUAAUCAGGCUUCCCUAAAAUAAAGAUAUAAUAUUUUAAGUUGCCCUUAGCUCUUAGAAAUCUAUUUUUCUUUCAUUAGCUAUUUUAUUAGAUUGACAUCUUUUUCAUAUCUUAUGUUCACACAUUUGCCCCUCUAGAUUCCUGGGCUUAAACAUGUGACUCCAGUAUAUGCCCUGCACACAGUUCUUCUGGUGAGUUACUAGUGCCCUUGCUGAGUAUUUGUAUUUAUUCCUACUAAAGCCUUAAAGAUCAGGACUUUUACCAAAUACUCUUGAAGCCCUCUUAUUUGCCUCAUGCCCCUGCCUUUUUCCCUUAAACUAGAAUUAACGUAGUGAAAAAUAAAAUAAUAUCCGAAAUUUAUGUGACAUGUUUUCCCAAGAAGCUCACAGAUCUUUUCCAGCUACAUCCUGCUGAGAGGGGAAAAGGAUGAAAACAUCAUCUCCACUUUGCAUUUGUGAAAACAGAAGCAGAAAGGAAAAAUUUGCUCCAAAGAUUCAUGGCAAAUCUGCUGUAGAACCAGAAGGACAAAACAAAACAGCUUCUAGACUGUUGGACCACAGCUUAUAGAUUCAGUAAGAAGAGACGACGAAGAUCAUAACUGGGUUGCCUUAAGGGAUGAAGAAGUCUCAUUGCAUUGACUGGGAAGUUAUAUCCUUGGAAGAAAAGGAUCAUGGUCAUAAACAUAGCAGGUAUGAAAAAUGAGCCUCUCCUUUGGAAAUUCUCUAAAGGUAGCUGCUACCUUUCAUCAAACAACAAACUCCCAGAAUCAGAUUUUCUCCUCAGUUUACAAAACAAGAACAAAUUACUGUGUGUGUAACUCUGAAGGGCAACAAUAAUCCCAUUGCAGUGGUUGUCUUCCUAAGAUGAUGUACACAUAGAGGUGAAUGCACUCAUUAUUACACUAAAAUUUGUACAUCAUUUUCACGGGCUAGAAUACAGAAAAAAAAUUAUACACUAUCCCUUCUGACAGGAAAACAUUAUAUCAUGAAUUUAGAAAAUAACCUGGACAAUUAAUCAUCUAAAAUGUUGUCCUUUCCUUCAAUUAUGUGUUCAGCUCUAACAGAAAAAAAAUAUAUUUACAUAAUCUGGAUGAUUACAAUUUUAUUGAACUCUUAUAUUUUCAUUGUGCCAUUAUGAUAUUUAAUUCCCAAACAUGCAGAUAGACACCAAAAUGUAGACCAUACUCCUCUGCACUCUAUGAGUGCCCAAUUCUUGCUGCAAUAUAUUGCCUUCUAAGCUAAAGGGCUCUUAAAACAUAAGAAAAUGAAGAAAUUAGAGAAUCCGUAGACCGACCAAUUGAUAUCUAUAUACUUUAGUAGACAGUGAACUUGAACAAAUUAUACCUGUAAACUAUAGAUGAAAAAUAUUACAGUUCUGGUUUUAACUUCCUAUUGUUCUUCACUAAGAAUUGAGGAAACUUUUGUUGAAUGUGACUAAGAGAAUUGCCUCAGUCCUGUCCUAGAUUUCUCUCCUUUCCUUAUCUAGUUACUAGUCAUCUUCUGGGAAUUCCAUUCUCUUUUAAUCCCAUACUGGUUGGAAAUGACUUUUCCUAAUGUGAAGGCCACUGUUAUUAAUUGCAGGUAUUAUUCAUUAUCAGUCUAAAAGGACUCAAGGUCCAUACUGGGACUGUACUUCUUUGGUUCCAUCUAUUUCUGUUAUUGAGUUUCUAUGAUAAUUUUCUUCCCUCCAGUAUAUUAUGAUAAUGCAUACAUGUUAUGUGAGAUUGUCAACAACCUGUAUUGGCCCGUAGAAUUAGUCUCUGUCAGAUUAACUCCAACAGACUUUGGGUCUGCCUUGUUGACUUUGAGGGACACAAAUGAGUUUUAUCAGGCUCUAGCUUCUGUCAGGAAGAAUGAAUUACUUUCUCCCAACCCAUAAAGAAACAGGCCACUUCCCACACCUUCCUCAUAACACCAUCAGACAGAACCCGAGGCUACAGAAGCCUAUGAUUUAGUUAGCCUAAACCCAUAAAUAUGUAGGCUGCAUACAUAUACUUACUUUGGUUUUUGGUCAACCUCAAACAUUUUAUUUUGUUUAUUAGGAAGAUGUCUUUCCUCAUUAUAUGAUAACUAUUAUUUAUACUAAACUAGUUUGAGAGAAACAAUCAAGUGAACAUGUGUGCAAUUUGUUAAAAGAAAUCAUCCAAAAAGAUAAACUUAGAGAAAUGAGAAUUUGAGCCCACACUCAAUUUUUUGCCCUAAGGCUAUUUUUCAACAUUUUACAUAAAAAAUAAUUCUCUGUUUUAUGCUCACACAUGGUAGACCAAAUAUUUGUAUGAAGAUCUUCACAGCAGCUUCUAGAACAUAUCUUCCGAAACCUUCAGAGAAAUUGUUUUAAUUUGUCUUGAAUGGCUUAAGUGAUGCCUUGCUGGAAAUAAAUUGCUAUAUUAGAUGUCUAAAACCUUGUCUACUUAUUAUGGACAGUUAUUUAAAAACUUGCAUUAUAGAAUGUGCUUAUGUGUUAUAAUGCAAUACCAAUUUCAGAUCAAAUCUAUAUGUUUAACAUUGCUGCAAAACAAAUUACUUCAAAAAAUAAUAAACAUUUAUUCAGUGUCUGUGGGUCAAGAAGGAAUGGCUUAGCUAAGUGGUUCUGUCUUAGGGUAUCUCAUGAGGUUGUAGUCAGACUAUCAGCUGAGGCCAUCUACUCCUAAGAUGGCUCACCCAAGUGGCUGGCAAGUUGACACUGGCAGUUAACAGGAGGCUUCAGUUCCUCACUACAUAGACCUCUCUAUAGGGAUGCUUGAGUGUUUUCACUUCAUAGUGCCUACUCCAGAGCAAGUGAUAUGUGAGAACAUGGCAGAGGUAUCAAUGUUUUUAAUUACCCAGUCUUGGAAGUUCAUCACUUCUACUAUAUUGCAUUGUACAUAGAAUGUAGAAGGGGAUUAUACAAAGGCAUGUAUUUUGGAGUCCGAUAAAUAUAUAGUUGACCCUUAAACAACACGGGUUUGAACUUUGAAGGUCUACUUAUGUGCAGAUUUUUUCACCAAAAGUUACUCCUAAGCGUGCCUCUCCUUCCACCUCCUCUUGCCUCUUCUGCCUCUGCCAUCCCUGAGAAAGCAAGAGCAGCCCCUCCCCUUCCUCCUCUUCCUCAGUUUACUACUCAACAUGAAGACAGUGAAGAUGAAGACCUAUAUGAUGACCUACUUCCACUUAAUGAAUAGUAAACAUGUUUUCUCUUCCUUAUGAUUUUCUUAAUAACAUUUUAUUUUCUCUAGCUUAUGUUAAUAUAAGAAUACAGUACAUAACAUUCAAAAUAUAUAUUAAUUUACUGUUUAUGUUAUUGAUAAGGCUUCAGUCAACAGUAUGCUAUUGGUAGUUCAGUUUUUGGGGAGUCAAAAGAUAUAUGAGGAUUUUCAAUUGCACAGGAGUUGGCACCCCUAACCCCUACAUUGUUCAACAGUCAACUCUCUCUAUCUCUCUCUCUCUCUCACUCAUAUAUAUAUAUAUAUAUAUAUAUAUAUAUAUAUAUACACACACCAUAUAUAUGGGGUGUGUAUAUAUGGUGUGUGUGUGUAUAUAUAUAUACCAUAUAUAUGGUGUGUGUAUAUAUAUGGUGUGUGUGUGUGUGUGUGUGUGUAUAUAUAUAUACGCCAUAUAUAUGGCAUAUAUAUAGUCAGCUCUUUGUUUCCAUGGAUCCCACAUCCAUGGAUUCAACCAACCCUGGACCAAAAAUACUAGAAAAAUAAUAGAUGUUUGUGUUUGUACUGAAGAGGUACAGACUUUUUUCUUCUCAUUAUUUCCUAAACAAUAUAGUAUAACAGCUACUUACAUAGCACCUACACUGUAUUAGGUAUUAUAAGUAAUGGAGAGAUAAUUUAAACUAUAAAGGAGGAUGUGUGUAGAUUAUAUGCAAAUACUACACCAUUUUAUAUGCCAAUAUUAUGCCAAGUCCCUUAUGGGACUUGAGCAUUUGAGAAUUUGAGUAUCUGUGGGUAGUCCUGGAACCGAAAGUUCCAAAAAAUUAAAGUUUUCAAAUUAAAAUUAUUUAAAAUAUCAUUUUAAAAAAGUUUCUGUCCUGUUUCACUUCACUUCCUUUGGCUAAAUAUAGCCAUUAUGUUUAAAAUUAAGUCAUUCUGUUUGUAUUGUUUUUGUAUAUCAUGAUCACAUGGUUAACUUUGCUAAAAGUAUUUUAAUUGUCUAGAUUUGAGGCUGAAGUUUAAUUCAAAUGACCACAUAAUUUCAACCUGGAAUACCAUUUGUCAGUUUAAUUCUUUCAGCCCUGAUCUUCACUACAUUAAAUAAAUGCUAGUGAACUAAGUAAUUAAUUCAUGUUGCAAAGGUGACUUAUUGACUUGCAAGGAGUAGCUUAGGAACCAGGAGAUUUGGACUCAGUAAAGUAUUUGCUUUGUGCUCUGUGCUAAUAUUUCUCAUAUAAAUCACUUGCAAAUAUUGUUAAAAUACAGAUUCUGAGCCAGUAGACCUGGAAUAAGCCCUGAGAUUCUGCAUUUCUAACAAGAUCCAAGAUUAAUUCCACUGUUCCUUGGAGCACAUGUUAAGUGGCAAUGUUCCAUGCAAUAGAGGUUCCUUUGAGAGAAUUUUUGUUAUAACAAUGUUGGCUUGUUAUACAGAAUUCAGAAUACCUAGAGUUUCCUAUCUUAGGUUAAUAUAUGUAAAUCAUAAUGAAAAAAAUAUUGUAUACUUUCUAGAGGAAAUCUCAACUACUCUCCCUUUCUUUCCAAAUAAAAUACCUUUUGUUAAAAGAAAGUGAUUUCUUAUUUCUAACCUCAUCUAUUUUUAAGAGAGAAGAAAGGCAAUUUUAUAGUGGUAGACGUGUCUUAGAUCUUUAGUAACUAUUUUUUAAACUAUAAAAUAAUGUACAUAUUUAGAUUUAACCCUUUUUCUUCUUCAGGCUGAAAUAUCAUAGAAUCUAAUCAUUGUAACAUUCCUCCCAUUAUUCUAUACUCAUUCUUUGAAUCUUGUGUCAUUUCUGCCUCUUUUCCAUGCCAUGCCAUGCCAUGAGUUGGAUUAUUGUUGAGGCCAUUUAGAUAUUUUCUAAAUGUCUGAAAUACUCCUUCCUUUCCUAAUAUCCUUUAAUUCUCCCUACCUCCAACUUGGUCUUUAUAAGCAUAAUUCUGUUUAGCGUUAUUACUAGCAGAAUAUAUUCUCUUUUAGAGAAUUUUAUUACCUUUAAACCCAAUUAUAGGUCACUUUUUGAAGACCUAGUGAGUUAGAAUUCUUGAUUGUAGGCAACAAAAUCUGACUGCCUACCUAAGAGAAAUAAUUAAGUUUAUUGAAAAGAUUUGAGUAAAUCAGAGGAUCUGAGAGAGAGAAACAGUUUGGUCUUUAUAAUACUAACUGACUUUUAAUUAUCCCCAUUACCAUAUGUCACCUGUUGAAUAAUCAGUGCUCUCAAUUGGCAGACCUUAACUCAUAUAUGUGUCCACAUUGCAUCAUGGCAAAAUGAAGAUAAAUGCUGCCCCCCAACCCCCACCCAUCAAGACUACCUCCACUGGGGAAACCCCCCUGUAAUAGAGAAAUCAAGAUGCUAAUAGGAGGGGGGGGAUCAAUUUGAUGUUGGAUCAAAAAAAAAAUGUAAAAUAUCCACUGUACUCGGAGUUUGUAGAGCCUAAAAAUGGCAAUUUAACCUUGCCAUUGCUCUCAGGUUAUGGUGGGUUUCCUCUGCACACUGGGAAAAAAACUAAUAUACAGCACUGACUUAAGAUACCUUAUUUCUCUCAGUGUGCUGCCACUCUGGGUUACACUUUCCCUGAGGACACAAUAGGAAAAUGAGUAGCUCAGACUAGAAAAGAAAGAUGCUACAAUCUGCUUUCCUCCCAUAAGAAUCUAUUUUUACCAAAGAAGGUGAUAAUCUUCAAAUCAACAUUUGUAUAUAUAAGUCAUAGGAUACAUUACUAUUUUGGAGAAAUAGAAUUGACUCAAUGUUUAAUAAAAAUAGCUCUUUAUAGGUAAGUGUUACUAAUACUUGAGAAAAAUAUGGGGAAGAAUUAUAUGGUGAUUUUGAGACACUACCUGAAUAUCUAUCGAAGUCUUAAACUAAUUUGAAAUAUUGGCUUUUUGUCUCACAUAUUGCAAUGAGCUUAUCAAACUUGAGGUUAAGGGCAUAGUCCUCUGUGAGACUACCCCCACUUCAGAUACCAGCCACAAGUUUGGGAGUCCCCAAACCAUGCUUAUUUUUGACAAGCUAACUACAAAUUUGGGAGUUCUCACUACCCCCUCAGGUUCAGUAAUUGGCUAGGAUAAAUCACAGAAUUCGGGAAAAUGCUAAACAUGUAACUACAAUUUUGUUAUAGCAAAAGGAUAUAAAUCAGCACCAGCCAAAGGGACCAGCUACAUAGAGCAAGGUCUGGAAGGCUUCCAAAUGCAAAGCUUCUGUGUCCUUAGGAAGCAUAGCUCUCCUGAUGUAUCAAUGUUUGAAGCUCAUUUAAGCUUCAGUGUCCAGGGUUUUUACUGGAGUUUCAUUAUGUAGGCAAAACUGAUUAAAUCAUUGGCCAUGUGGUUAAACUCAAUCUUCAGUCUUCUUUCCCUUUCCAGAGGUUGGGAUGAUAUCACAUGGUUCAAAGUCCCAACCCUCUGUUGCGUAUUUGAACUUUAGUCCCCCAUCCUGAGUCACCCAUAACUAACCACAGUUAGUAUUAACUGUGGAGGAACUUACAAGGAGUCACCUCAUUGGCAUAAACUGUCCAGUGUGAUCCUAGGGCCCACCAUGGUAACAAAGACACCUCAAUCACUUGGAAAAUUGCAAAGGCUUACAGGUCACACCCCAGGAACCAGGAACAAAGGCCAGCUAAAUUCUUUAUUACACAUGUCUAUGACUAGUUUAACACUGUCACUAUUUCUAUGAUUUAAACUACAGCUGAAAUGCUCUGGAAGGGGAAAGAACUCCAGCAGAAUAGUAGAACUGGUCUCUGGGACUCCUGCAUGAAGCUUUUAUUAACUAUUAAGCCACGUAUUUGACAACUCUUAAUAAUGGAGGAAAAUUGCUAAAAUUACCCCAAAAUCACUCUCUAUAUAUAAUUGAACAAAAAUAAUGUCCUUUAUAGUUUUCUUCAAAAUAAGUAUAUGGAUGGGAAAUGCUACUUUCCUUCUUUAAAAUUUAGAUAAUGAAGAACUAACAUGAAUGGUGGUAAUUUGAUGAAGAAGAAAAAUCUAGAAACCAGCAAUAGCCAUCUUAGACAAUGAAGACUAGUUAACAGGUUUUUCUGUUGUAUGAUGAAAAGUAUCUCAUAUUGAAAAUCUGUCAUACUGUGGAGAGAGAAAUUUGGUAUAAGUUUCUGGUAUAAUAGCAAAUAUUUUAACCCUUUAAUCUUUUUUAAAUUCUGGAAGCAAGUCUAAAAGUGGUAGUUUUUGUUGUCCCCUAAAAUAAAUGUUUAAUUUUCAAAUUAACAUUUUAGAUCUAGUGCCAAAUUCUCAGACCUGAAGGUUACUGUGAACUCUGAAAAGGUGUGUUCAUUUUGUUGUAAAGUCACACUGUCACCUAGUGGUUUCUUACAUAUAAAAUCUGAUUUAAAAAGCAAAUGGCUUAUUUUGAUAUCAUAUUCUCCCACUUAUCCAAAAGGACUAUUUUGUCUUUAUAUCAUGCGGCAGAUGUUUUAUAUCUUUAAAUUAUUUAUAUGAGUUAGGAUAUCAUUAUAACUAACCCGUAAAUCAUUUUUAUUGAAGCACAUGGUUUCCUCUUUCCGACACAUGCAGAGUAGGACAAAGAGUAAAUAAUGAAGAGUGGUUUCAAUUACAGCAGAUUAUCUGGUAAAUUUACUGGAUUUUCCUAAGUUUUAUCAGAGUAGUUGUAUAAAUCAACUUCAGUCAUAGUGCCAAAAUUUUCUAUUUGCCUUAAAACACUCAAUUAAUGUGUAACUAACAACUGCUAAGUUCUCUUUUGUCAUUCUUUGCUUUCAGUCCUCUUUCCCUUGCUCCUUCCUCCAAAGGGAAUGAAAGCACUUUAAGUCCCUUUUACAUAGUAGAUUCAUGAUAGUUUUUCUGGUUAUUGUUGGUGCACAAGAAUCACAGGAAGUAUAAAACAUAUGUUAAAAAGAUGUAACUCAAUAUCUAUGUGUUACAGUGGACUGGCCCCAGGCAAAGUUAUGAGGUCAGUGAAGGUUGAUGUUGGUGUCUUUCAGUUUAGCUGCAACUCAAGUGUGGUGCCCUAAAAGUUUCUUCAGCCACACAGCUGGAAUUUUUUUUCACUGCAGUCUCCCUUUUUCCUUUCCCCCACUCUCAAGCACAUGGAAGAGGACCUACACUACAUUUCAUUUUCUUAUGGAAAAGGUGCUUAACUAGUUAAAGAACUAAGCAAAAUGGGAAACUUACUAGAGAAAUACUAGCAGAAACAACGCAGACUUUAACUGGGGACUUUGGGGAGCAUAGCACAACCCACCCAAUGGUAAAUUGGCAGAACAUAAGACUUCACUAAAACACAACCACAGGAAGUCUUGGCUAGUGCAAUAAGGCAAGAGAAAGAAAUAAAGGGCAUCCAAAUUGGAAAGGAAAAAGUUAAAUUAUCCUUGCUUACAAACAACAUGAUUUUAUAUUUAGAAAAACCUUUAAAAUCCACCAAAAAACUAUUGAAACUCAUAAAUUAGUUCAGUAAAGUUGCAGGAUACAAAAUCAACACACAAAAAUCAGUAGCAUUUAUGUAUACCAACAGUGAACAAAUUGAAAAAUCAAGAAAGCAAUAUAUUUACAAUAGUUACAAAAAAUAUAAAAUACUUAGGAAUUAAUUUAACCAAAGAAGUGAAACAUUUCUACAAGGAGAACUAUAAAACACUGAUGAAACAUUAUUGAAGAGAACACCAAAAAAAAAAAAAAUGGAAAGAUAUCCUGUACCCAUGAAUUUCAAUAAUAUUAUUAAAAUAUCAAUAAUACCCAAAGUGAUCUACAGAUUUCAUGAAAUCCCUAUCAAAAUACCAAUGACACUCUUCACAGAAACAGAAAACAACAAUCCUAAAAUUCAUAUGGAACCACAAAAGACCCCAGGAGACAAAGCAAUCCUGAGCAAAAGAAUGAAGCUGGAGGGAUCAUGCUAUCUGACUUCAAAAUAUACUGUGAAAUCAUACUAAUCAAAACAGCAUAUUACUGGCAUAAAAGCAGAUGCACAGACCAAUGAAAAAGAAUAGAGAACCCAGAAAUAAAUUCACACAUUUACAGCCAACUAAUUGACAAAAGUGUCAAGAACUUACACUGGGGGAAAUGACAGUCUCUUCAGUAAAUUGUGCUAGGAAAACUGAAUAACAGUGUGCAGAAGAAUAAAGCUAGAACCCUAUCUCUCAGCAAAUGCAAAAAUCAAAUCAAAAUGUAUUGAAGCCUUAUAUCUAAGACCAGAAACCUUCAAAUUACUAGAAGAAAGCAUUGGGGAAAUGCUUCAGAAUAUUGGUCAGGCAAAGACUUUUUGUUUAAGACUUCACAAGCACAGGAAACAGAAGGGAAAAUACACCAAUGGGAUUACAUCAAGCUAAAAAGUUUCUGCACUACACAAGAAACAACAGAGUGAAAAGACAAACUACAGAAUGGGAAAAGAUAUUUACAACCUACCUGUCUGACAAGGGACUAAUAAACAGCAUGUGUAAAGAAAAUAGCAAAAAACCCACAAAUUAUCCAACUAAAAGAUGGGCAAAAAGUCUGAAUAGAUAUUUCUCAAAAGAAGGCAUACAAAUGGUCAACAGGCUUAUGAAAAAAUGCUUAACAUCACUAAUCAGGGAAAUGCAAAUCAAAGCAAUAAUCAGUCAUUAUCUUACCUCAGUUAAACUUUUUUAUUAAAAAUAAUAAAUAAUGGAUGCUGAUGAGGAUGUGGAGAAAGGGGAACCCUCAUAAACUGUUGGUGAGAAUGUAAAUUAGGACAACUACAAUGAAGAACACUAUAGGUCAGGCAGGUGGCUCACGCCUGUAAUCCCAGCACUUUGGCAGGCCAAGGCUGGGGGAUCACUUGAGGUCAGGAGUUUGAGACCAGCCUGGCCAACAUGGUAAAAUUCUGUCUCUACUAAAAAUAUAAAAAUCAGCCAGGCAUAGUGGCGGACACCUGUAAUCCCAGCUACAUAGGAGACAGAGGCAGGAGAAUUGCUUGAACCCAGGAGGCAGAGGUUGCAGUGAGCUGAGAUCACACCACUGCACUCCAGCCUGGGCGAUAGAGUGAGAUUCUGUCAAAAAAAAAAAAAAAAAAAAAAAAAAAAAAACACAACCGGAUGGAGAUUCCUCAAAAAAUUACAAAUAGAACUACUGUGUGAUCCCACAAUUCCACUGCCUCCACUGCCAGGUAUAUAUCCCCCAAAAGGAAAUCUACAUAUUGAAGAAAUAUCUGCACCCCCAUUUUCAGUGCAGAACAAUUCACAAAAGUCAAGAUGUGGAAUCAACCUGUGUUCGUCAACAGAUACAUGAAUAAAGAAAAUAUGGUACAUAUACACAAUGGAAUAUUAUUCAGCUGUAAAAAAGAAUAAAAUCCUAUCAUUUGCAGUGACAUUGAUGGAAUGGGAGGACAUCGUGUUAAGUGAAAUAAAAUAAUCCAGGCACAGAAACACAAGUACCGCAUGUUCUCACUUAUAUGAGAGAACUAAAAAUGGAUCUCAUGAAGAUAGAGAGUAGACUGGUGGUUACCAGAGGCUGGAAAGAGUAGGUAGGGUGAAGUGAAUGAAGGCACACUAGUUAACAGAUACAAAAAUACAGUUAGAUAGAAGAAAUAAAAUUUAGUGUUCAGUAGUAGUGAUUGUAGUUAAUGUGUAGUUCAAAAUAGCUAGAAGAGAAGAAUUGGAAUGUUCCCAACAUAAGAAACAAACGUUUGAGGUGAUUGAUAUCCUAGUUACUCUGAUUUGAUCAUUACCCAUUGUAUGCAUGUAUCAAAAUAUCACAUGUACCUCCAAAACAUGUAUAACUAUUAUGUAUCAGUGAAAAAAAUAUACAACCAGAGUUGUUUCAUGGUUAUCAGUCCUUGUUUAUAAACAUUGUGAUUAUUUCAUUGUUAUAAUUUCACAGUUUCUACUUCCUCCUCUGUAAACUUCUACAUAAAAAGUUGGUUUGAAUUUACAGGAUAUUAAAAAAUAGUAAGUUAUGAAAAAAUCAAAAGAAAUGAGAGUUCUUUCAAGAUCACGAUACAUAAUUAUAUAAAAAAGUGGUCUUUAGCUAAGUAUCACAGCCCUAGCCUCAGUGAAUAACUAAAAUUAGUAUUUUUCUACAAAUGGACCAGGCAUCUUUUCUCACUUUUGAUAAUUUUUACCAAGCCCACAAGAAAAGACUAUUUCUUUUGAGUUUCAUUCAGAAAAGGAAAUGCUGCAUUCUAUUUUUAAUGUCAACUAGAAAACUUAAAUAUUUUUUGGAUUUAAAAUAAUCCAGGAAACAUCUGUGAAGGUCUUUGUCAUACAAUACUUGUCAUUUUAAAGUAACAUGUAGAACUUCUGAGCUUAUAGGGAUAAUUAGACCAUACCUUAUUAGUAAAUUCUAAACCAACGUAAAUAAUAGGUCACCAGGAUAUAUACCUAUAACUUGUUUAAUAUUAAUGGAAAUUUGUCUACAGGAUUAUUGUCUAAGGAUUUGGUGUAUUAAUAUACAUCUGUCUGAUAAUUAGGAAGAAACUCUUCAUGUAACUAAACAAUUGUGAAACCUAUCAAUAGCUAACUGAGAGCAAACAAUGGGGUUCAUAAACUUGCCAGUAAUGUUUAUGUUAUUAAACUUUAUGGCACUCUAGAAAAAAUUCACAGUUGUGGAGAACGUGAUACAUACAACAUGUGAUGGCUUAGAAGCCAUUGAUUUCAGAAUUCCAUGGUAUCUGGUACAAACCUAUAAAUAUAUUAAAAGUUCAACCAAUUCUGAUUUCAGAUCAAGAUGUGAAGAAAGAGAUGUAUGUUUUAGGAUUCAGAACCCUCUAGAAAAAAAAUAGUUCAAUAUGAAUAUGAGUUAACUAAAUGUAUAUCAAGCUAGCAUUUAAAAAGCGCCAUUAUUUAUGAAGAAAGUACAUUUUUGCAUGGAAAAGGUCCUAACUGUAAACCAUGGACAGCAGAGAAGAUAUAAGACAAAAAACAUGGAAUUUGCCAAUUGGUUACAGAAAUAUUCCUCCUAUAAUAGCUAUAAGAAGAGAUACCUGUAAAAAUGAGUAUUUGUUGUUGGAUGCACUUUGGGGAGACUUGUAGCAGAUAUAGAAUUGCUAUAAAUAUUUAUAGAGUACCACCAUACAUGCAGAAGAACAGUGAUACAUUUUCUAUCAUUUAUUUUUAUUUUGUCUUUUUGAUCUUAUAUAACAAAUAUAUACAUACACAUACCUAAAUACAUACACAACAAACAUAUACACACAUACAUGUAAAUAUACCUACCUACCUAUAUACAUAUGUACACACACAGACAUAAUGUCUGUGUGUGUGACACACACUCACACCUAUAUAGUUUUCUCCAAUUGCCAUGCACUGUUCUAAAUGUUUUACAAAUACUAACGCACUUAAGACAAUUAUAUUCACUUAAAUAAUGUACCACAUAUAAUUACUACAAAAAAAAUUGUUUUUGAGAUAGAGCCUCACUCUGUUGCCCAAGCUGGGGAGCAGUGGCACAAUCACAACUCACUGCACCCUUGAACUCCCAGGCUCACUUAAUCCCCCAACCUCAGUCUCCUGAGUGGCUGGGGCUACAGGCGUGUGCCGCCAUGCCCAGUAAGUUUUGGUAAUUUCCGUAGAGGCAGGAUUUCACUAUGUUGCCUAGGCUUCAAAAUUUUAUCAAAAGAACUUUAGUGCUCUGCCUCUGAAUAUUACAGAGUGCAGGUUGGGUUAUCAGUGUCAUGAUUAUGAUUAACAUUAUGGAAGUCUUAAUGUAAAUCAUGCCCUUUGUCGAGUACUUAAUCUCUGGAUCAGUCAAGAUCCAAUCAAAAACCACAACAAUUAUUUUAACAACAAAAAAAUUUAAUGUAAAUAAUUUUGAACUAUCUUUUAAAAACUGAAAGCCAGACAGUAAAACAAUAAAGUAUCAUGAAAAUAGAAACUGCAGGAAGCAGCUACCAUCCUUAGGGAACAAACGAAAAAUGUAGGAAUUACUAAAACUUUGUUGUUUGGUGGAGAAACCUCGCAGAGCUCAGACCUCUGAGUGCUACCAGCUGGUGCUAGCAUCUCUAAGGGGCACCAUCAGGCUGACUCUUUGAUGUGUUAGAGAACGAAAACCUGGACUUGCUGCUACCAGGGUGAAGAAGUGUGGCUGAUGUGAUGCUCACAGGAGCUGGAAAAAAUAAAAGAGCAAGACAGCAUGAAGCUGGCAGGGAAAAGUCCCUCAUUUCUCCUUUAGCCUCCCAGGCUCUCUCUAGUGCCCCUUACACAGAUUGUCUAGCAAAUGAAAAGCAGUUUCAAAAAUCCCAGCCCCACAAUCCCAAAGCUAAGAGGAGUGGAUUUGAGACUGAGAGACCAUUAUCUUCAUAACUGGUAUAGUGUCUUUUAACAUAAAAGAUCCUUCACCCCAACUUAACGGUAAAUCCUUAAGUUACAUUUACCUUAAGGGUAAAUUUAAAUCCAUGUGCUCUAAUUCAUUUCUCUGAGAAAGAACAAAGAGUCUCCUUAAUAUCAUCACUCUAAUCCUUGGAAACAUUAAGGUGUUGUUGACAUCUUACCUGGUGCUCUCUGUAUCACUUGCACAGCAUAUAUUAUGCUCUUAACAAAUAUUAGUUGAAUGAAUGUGUAAAAGUAUAUUCUCAGCAUAACUCUGACUUCUGAAUUCUCUUUAAACAAUGCAUUUUUCAUCCCCUUUAUCACUGGACUAGGAUAUAAAUAUUUAUACUGUAAAAACUAUAGCACCACAGAAAUAUGACUUCACAAUUUCAGAAGCUCUGAUGUUUCUUAAGACAGUUAAUAUAGAUUUUGCAUGUUUCUCUCAAACUACAGAGGGAAUGAGGAAAUAAAAUAGAAUUCCUUUGAUUUCCUCUAAGGUUGAAUCUUCCUUCCCAAAAUCCCAAUGAUGCAUCAGGCUACUCUUCGGAUUCUCCGUAUCACAUGAAAGAUACAGGUUAUGGAACAUUGAAAACAACACUUGUCCCUCUGUGCCACACCUGAGGAAAGUAAGGAGAAUGAUAUUUGUGUUGUCUGUCUCAAAACGUGUUUAGGUAGAACACGUCCAUUCAUAUAAAGGAAACUGGUAAAUCAGCAAAUCAUGAUUGUAAAUGUUAAUAACCAAAUUCUCUAUAAAUAUACUUGGGGAAAGAGUCAUAAGGAAAUAAGAGCUAAUAUGCAUUUGAAUUCCUACUAUGUGUCAAAAUCAUCUUUGAAUAUCACUGAGGUAACCAUUGCAUAUAAUUUGCCUACUUCCCUAAAUUUCUUUUUGUUGUUGUUGUUAUAUCAUUAACAAAUACUUAUUGAGCAACUACUCUGAGCAAAGUAUUGUGGUUUGGCCCUCUGUGCAACCAGUGCUAUACAAUGUACAUAUUAAAAAUUCCCUAAAUUUCUGAAGGGAAUUACAAUCUUAUUUUAAAAUCAGAUGACAUUGAAAAAUUCAAGUUACAUUACCACCAUAUAUAUGGUGGACAUGUAAUGCCUUUGCUGGUGGACUCCCUGCCUGCAUGGUCAAUGGAAAAUGCUAAUGGAAGGAAGAAGACUCCACAGCAGGAAUGGUGUAACCACUGUCAGAUGUUGUUAUAUAGCGGACAAGUGCAGACAGCCUAAUGCAAGCAUGCCUAGGUGCAACCCUCGCCCUGCUCCUUAUUAGCUUGGUGAUGUUAGACAACAUACCACCCUGUGCUCAUUCUUCAAUUUUUAAUAAAUACUACUUUUCUUAUGGAGUAGUUAUAAGAAUUAAAUGAUUAAAUGGCAAUAGUAAGCACUUUAGGAAAGAAAGCAAGUGAAGUAUUUUUAUUAGUAGAGUUGCAUGAAAAUAUAAUUUCUUAAGAAAUAUUACAGAAUCUUCUUUCAGAAUAAAAUAAGACAAAAAUAAAGGGAUCUAUCACACCUGAAAUUAUAAUAGUAAAGUUUACCCUUAAGACUCUACAUAAAAUUAUUUGUACGUAUGGUUAGUAUAUCAGUAAGUGGCUAUUUUCUGGGAAAUUUCCAGUUAUUUAUCAUGCUGAUUUCCUUUGUUUCAAAGCAUGUGAGUAAAUCAUUCUUUGAAUUUCUACACACCUUUCUCUUAAAGUUCUUAAAAUUUUUUUAAACAAGCUCAUUUAUUCCCAACACAUUGCUCACCAAAUAUAACUACCCACCCGUCCCCAAAUCUUAACAGGGUUUCUUCUAAAUGUCAUCUACAUUAAUGCCAUUUUACACUUCUCUUUCUUUUU